AAUUCUCUUAAUCAAUUUUUACUCAAUUCUUAAAUUUUUGGAAGUCACGAUGGCUGCAAUGGAUUUGAGCUCUGAAGCCUCCGUUGAUUUGAAGCUUCCUUCAAUGGCUACUAUGGAUUUGAGAUGAAGCACGCAUCAAUGUUUUCUUUCUGCUUGAACUGAAGUGCACUAAGAGAAAAAUAAGGAAUAUCUUGAACAAUCAUGGAGAAGUCUUGAAAAAGAAAAUGGAUGGAUUACAGUAUAGUCAGUAAAGAGUAUUUAGAUGGAGUAGAAAAUAUUUGCGAUUUAGAAGAUGACAACAAUGGUUGGGUAAGAGGUGGAGUUGAUGGUAUAUAAAUCGUUACGGACUGAAAUUCAAUUUCCUCCAAUAGAAGAGGCCAUGUUUUUGGGAGGAAGAAUAUCGGGAUUAUGUCAGGCCAUGUUUCUGGGAGGAACAUUGAGAUUAUAUCAGUGGUAUACUCAUUCAAAUGGUGAGCUUGUUCAAGGAAUGACUGACUGAUCCAGGAAGCUGCACAUUUUGCAUUAGGGGAAAAAUAGUGGCUUUAUUGCCUUGUUUUCUCUGUUGUUGAACAUAUUUUUUCUAUUUUUAUAAUUCUUAGUUUCUUUUACCGCUAACAAGAUAAGAAAGUGAAUGUAAUAAAGAUUGUUUGAUUUUUAUUUUAAGUGAAUGACAUUGUUUUGAGUUUGGUAA